ACUGCAUUCAUUCGGAAUACUCAACCGGAAUAGACUGUAUUUCCAAUAUUUUUGGUUUCAAUUUUAGGGUCGCUCAAAACUAAGCUGUAUACUAUAAAGCUUACAUUUACCUUACCCUUAAUCAGUAAAAAUAUGUUUCGACACCUACCUGCAGACAUCUGUCUGUGUACGCAAAUAUCGAUGACGUUGUCCGCUGCACUCGUGUACAGUGCAGGGCCAACAGCUGUUUGAAACUAGAACUGUAAUUCAGUUUAUGUUAAUGAUAAUAACGAGCGUUCUUUUUAUUUCAAAAUACAUAGGUAGGUAUCGUUACAAAUUGGAUUAUCCAUGUACAGGGCCAACUUCAGUUGUCAUAGUACCAAAAUUAUAAUGGAAACUUAAUUCUGCUUUACUGAGGGAAUAGAACUUUUGCAGAUCAGUGGAUUGUGAAGAAUAUUCGUGUUUUGUCAAUCUAUAUGAUACAGAACUCACACAUUUGGGACACAGCACAAUCAAGAAGUAAAUAAUUACAGAAUGUCAGCAGAAACGGGGGAUAAACAACCUGAAACAGUGAAGGAAUCUCCACUGUCUGACAGUGGAAGAGGGUCCCAGUCAGUAGUUAUCAUCAAUACAGAGAAUCUGAAUGCAGAUGUAGAUCAGGACGUCCAGAUUGUAGAAAAUAACAAUGUAGAUACUGAUGAUGAUAUGAACAGAUAUGUUUACUCUGAUGAUUUUGAGAGUGAUGAUGAAGAAGAUAUUGAGGACAGUGAUGAACUGGCAGGAGCUUAUCCAAGUGUUGUACCAGGUCUCAGACAGAGAGCUGACAAUCCAGUUGUACCAUCUACAGUGACAACAUUAGAAACACCUUGGGGAAGUAAAGUUUAUAUUGUUGGUACUGCACAUUUCAGCAAAGAAAGUCAGGAUGAUGUUACAAAGACUAUAGAAGCUACUCAGCCAGAUGUGGUGAUGGUGGAACUGUGUAACAGUAGGUUAAAUAUUCUACAGUUAGAUGAGGAAAAACUUCUGGAGGAGGCACAGAAUAUCAACCUGGAGAAAAUCCAGCUAGCUGUAAAACAGAGUGGAUUAGGUCAAGGCAUAAUGCAUCUUCUCUUCUUGAGUAUGUCAGCUCACCUAACAAAACAGCUUGGUAUGGCUCCUGGAGGUGAAUUUAGGAGGGCUUUCAGAGAUGCAAAGAAAAUUGCUGGUUGUAGACUACAGUUGGGUGAUCGUCCAAUUCAAGUGACUCUACGUAGAGCACUAUCAUCAUUGUCUGUGUGGCAGAAAAUAAGGCUUGCCUGGUAUCUCCUCACCUCAAAUGAUCCAAUCAGUAAAGAGGAUGUAGAAAAGUGUAAGCAGAAAGACCUACUGGAAGAAAUGUUGAAAGAAAUGACUGGGGAGUUUCCUGGUCUUAGUGAAGUCUUUGUGAAAGAAAGGGAUUCAUUUCUAGCACACUCAUUGAAACACGCAGCACAACCAUUACCUCACCCUGUUGUGCCAGGAGGCAUGGAGGGAUUUUGAUGUAAGUUGGCUCAGUUGUAUACCCUCAUGACACAGAAUGUCAUGCUUAAGAACCAGGUCCCUAGGGGCAUCCAUGUCUGUGACACAUAUCUGGUUUAAGAUACAGCCUUGAAAAUUCGAUGACAUAUACAGUUUUGCGCACAGAUCUUAACACUGACUAUCAGUGACCAUGAAUGUGACCUACUG
rnacentral:misc_RNA from 1 species